rnacentral:rRNA from 1 species
GUCUGCAACUCGACUACAUGAAGCUGGAAUCGCUAGUAAUCGCAAAUCAGCAUGUUGCGGUGAAUCCGUUCCCGGGUCUUGUACACACCGCCCGUCACACCAUGGGAGUCGGAAAUGCCCGAAGUCGGUGACCUAACUGAAAGGAAGGAGCCGCCGAAGGCAGGUCUGGUGACUGGGGUGAAGUCGUAACAAGGUAGC